rnacentral:rRNA from 1 species
GAUGAACGCUGGCGGCGUGCCUAAUACAUGCAAGUCGAGCGAACAGACGAGGAGCUUGCUCCUCUGACGAUAGCGGCGGACGGGUGAGUAACACGUGGAUAACCUACCUAUAAGACUGGGAUAACUUCGGGAAACCGGAGCUAAUACCGGAUAAUAUAUUGAACCGCAUGGUUCAAUAGUGAAAGACGGUUUUGCUGCCACUUAUAGAUGGAUCCGCGCCGCAUUAGCUAGUUGGUAAGGUAACGGCUUACCAAGGCAACGAUGCGUAGCCGACCUGAGAGGGUGAUCGGCCACACUGGAACUGAGACACGGUCCAGACUCCUACGGGAGGCAGCAGUAGGGAAUCUUCCGCAAUGGGCGAAAGCCUGACGGAGCAACGCCGCGUGAGUGAUGAAGGUCUUCGGAUCGUAAAACUCUGUUAUUAGGGAAGAACAAAUGUGUAAGUAACUAUGCACGUCUUGACGGUACCUAAUCAGAAAGCCACGGCUAACUACGUG